rnacentral:rRNA from 1 species
GACGAACGCUGGCGGCGUGCUUAACACUUGCAAGUCGAACGAUGAACCCGGAGCUUGCUCUGGGGGAUUAGUGGCGAACGGGUGAGUAACACGUGAGUAACCUGCCCUGGACUCUGGGAUAAGCGUUGGAAACGACGUCUAAUACCGGAUAGGACCUUGGAUCGCAUGAUCUGGGGUGGAAAGUUUUUUCGGUCUGGGAUGGACUCGCGGCCUAUCAGCUUGUUGGUGAGGUAAUGGCUCACCAAGGCGUCGACGGGUAGCCGGCCUGAGAGGGUGACCGGCCACACUGGGACUGAGACACGGCCCAGACUCCUACGGGAGGCAGCAGUGGGGAAUAUUGCACAAUGGGCGAAAGCCUGAUGCAGCAACGCCGCGUGCGGGAUGACGGCCUUCGGGUUGUAAACCGCUUUUAGUAGGGAAGAAGGGCUUCGGCUUGACGGUACCUGCAGAAAAAGGACCGGCUAACUACGUG